GUAGUCUCGCACAGAUGCAUAUCAAUAAGCGGAGGAAAAGAAACUAACAAGGAUUCCCCUUAGUAACGGCGAGUGAAGCGGGAAGAGCUCAAAUUUGAAAUCUUCAAGGGUUUACCUUUACGAGUUGUAGUUUAAAGAAGUGUUUUCUGUUGAGGUUUUGGUAAAAGUUCUUUGGAAUAGGACAUCAUAGAGGGUGAGAAUCCCGUAUUUGACCAUUACUUUUCAACUGUGUGAUACACUUUCAAAGAGUCGGAUUGUUUGGGAGUGCAGUCCAAAAUGGGUGGUAAAUUUCAUCUAAAGCUAAAUAUUGGCGAGAGACCGAUAGCGAACAAGUACCGUGAGGGAAAGAUGAAAAGAACUUUGAAAAGAGAGUUAAACAGUACGUGAAAUUGUCAAAAGGGAAGCGUUUGACACCAGUGUUGUUUUUCUGAAAAUCAAUUAAAGAACUGUUUAUGCUAAGUUGUUUAGACUUUAUCAGCUAUCUGUUUAGUUUUGAGCUUUUCUUUAAUGCACUUUUCAGUUAACAAGUCAACAUCAAUUUCUUUUGCUGUAAAAAAGCUUGAGGAAGGUGGCUUGAGAUUCGUCUUAAGUGUUUAUAGCCUCUUGCCUAUGCAGUCGGAGAGAUUGAGGUCUGCAGCGUAGAUCCUUCGGGGCUAAAUGCAUUUGUGCUAAGUUAUAGCAUUUUAUAGACAACUUGUUGACUAUGAUUUGUCUUGUAGCUUACUCGCUUAUGUUAUUUUACCUACGCUUAGGAUGUUGAUGUGAUACUGCGAGC
rnacentral:rRNA from 1 species